CUGGCUCAGGACGAACGCUGGCGGCGUGCCUAACACAUGCAAGUCGAGCGGGGACAUGCGACGGAUAGGAAGAUUCGGUUGGACUUGAAGAUGCAUGUCUAGCGGCGGACGGGUGAGUAACGCGUGAGCAACCUGUCCCUUACAGGGGGAUAACACAGCGAAAGUUGUACUAAUACCGCAUGAGACCACGGGAGGACAUCCUCCAGGGGUCAAAGGAGCAAUCCGGUAAGGGGUGGGCUCGCGUCCGAUUAGAUAGUUGGUGAGGUAACGGCCCACCAAGUCGACGAUCGGUAGCCGACCUGAGAGGGUGAUCGGCCACAUUGGGACUGAGACACGGCCCAAACUCCUACGGGAGGCAGCAGUGGGGAAUAUUGGGCAAUGGGGGGAAACCCUGACCCAGCAACGCCGCGUGAGGGAAGAAGGUUUUCGGAUCGUAAACCUCUGUCCUUGGUGAAGAGGAAGAGACGGUAGCCAAGGAGGAAGCCCCGGCUAACUACGUGCCAGCAGCGGC
rnacentral:rRNA from 1 species